GUGGUGGUAAUGGUCGUCGCAG
rnacentral:snRNA from 1 species